AUUGAACGCUGGCGGCAGGCCUAACACAUGCAAGUCGAACGAGUGGCGGACGGGUGAGUAAUGUCUGGGAAUCUGCCUGAUGGAGGGGGAUAACUACUGGAAACGGUAGCUAAUACCGCAUACCAUCAGAUGUACCCAGAUGGGAUUAGCUAGUUGGUGGGGUAAAGGCUCACCUAGGCGACGAUCCCUAGCUGGUCUGAGAGGAGGACCAGCCACACUGGGAAUGAGACACGGCCCAGACUCCUACGGGAGGCAGCAGUGGGGAAUAUUGCACAAUGGGCGCAAGCCUGAUGCAGCCAUGCGGCGUGUAUGAAGAAGGCCUUAGGGUUGUAAAGUACUUUCAGCGGGGAGGCGUUACCCGCAGAAGAAGCACCGGCUAACUCCGUGCCAGCAGCCGCGGUAAUAC
rnacentral:rRNA from 1 species